rnacentral:rRNA from 1 species
AUACGUAGGGUGCGAGCGUUGUCCGGAAUUACUGGGCGUAAAGAGCUCGUAGGUGGUUUGUCGCGUCGUCUGUGAAAUUCCGGGGCUUAACUCCGGGCGUGCAGGCGAUACGGGCAUAACUUGAGUACUGUAGGGGAGACUGGAAUUCCUGGUGUAGCGGUGAAAUGCGCAGAUAUCAGGAGGAACACCAGUGGCGAAGGCGGGUCUCUGGGCAGUAACUGACGCUGAGGAGCGAAAGCAUGGGUAGCGAACAGGAUUAGAUACCCUGGUAGUCCAUGCCGUAAACGGUGGGCGCUAGGUGUAGGGGUCUUCCACGACUUCUGUGCCGUAGCUAACGCAUUAAGCGCCCCGCCUGGGGAGUACGGCCGCAAGGCUAAAACUCAAAGGAAUUGACGGGG